AAACAACAACAAACAAAACAAAACCCGAAAAGAACAAAAACCAAUAAAAAACCUUGAGUUGUACAUAAAGUGUUCCUUUAGCUUGAGGAAGAAAAUAAUGUAUCUCUUGCUGCCAUUAAUAUUUUUAUUCAUUCUGUAUCCAAAGUUGAUACUGUUAAGUCAUUAUCUUUGUGUAGGGAUUAUACUUCUAACUCUUACUGCCUUGACUCUUAAGAUGAUUGUACCAAUGCAGAAAGCCAAGUCACAUUCUCUUAUUUCCUUCACUCAUGUUUGUUCAGUUAUUGAAAUAAUUUAUCAGAGGCUUUCCCUUGUUUUCUUUUCUCUCUCCUUCUGCUAUAAAUGCAGUUACAACCUUUAGCACAGUUACCUUUACUGAUACAUUGAUUAAUAGGAUGGCAACGGACUCACUUGCAUAAAUCAUUUGUUAUAAAACCUCGCAUCCCAACAUAUAGUGUGGCUCUGGUAAUAUUAGAGUAGAGAUUCUCAAAAUUUGUUCCCUGGACCAUCAGUAAUGGCAUCAUCUGAGAACUUGUUAGAAAUCCAAAUUCUUGGACUUCACUCCAGAUCUACUGACUCAGAAACUCUUGAUAUGGGGCCCAGCCAUUUAAAUGACUACAAACCUCGGUUAUUCUGAUGGCUGCUCAUGUUUGAGAGCUACAGUGUUCUAGAGUGAGGCUAGUCACAUCUUCAUAUCUAUCCACAAAGACUGCUGAAAAGUUAAUAUUCCUUAAUGUAUCCACUCAAGUGAAAUGCUAGAGAUACAUCCAGAUGUUGGCUAUUGACCAUUUAAUUAGAUUACUUUUAUCUCAUCCAUCUUCAGUCUUCAGAAUAACUGGGUCAAGGCCAUAUGGUGACUCAAUUUUAACAUUAAUAAUACUAGCCACUUAAAUUAUAUAACAUUUUUUCAUUCUUCAAAGUUCUGACAUAUAUAAAAUUUCAUUUGAUUAUACAAUGGAAUUAAAUAUAUCAUUCAUUUGAGUCAAUGCAAUUUAAUUACAGGAAAAGAAUAAUAAACACAAACUUUUGCAAAGCCAUGUGUUAAUCUUUUUUUGUCUCUAUGUCUCUGGUUAUCUUGCAUUAAAAUCUAUACUUGGU
rnacentral:lncRNA from 1 species